rnacentral:rRNA from 1 species
UACGGAGGGGGCUAGCGUUGUUCGGAAUUACUGGGCGUAAAGCGCGCGUAGGCGGAUUGUUAAGUCAGGGGUGAAAUCCCGAGGCUCAACCUCGGAACUGCCUUUGAUACUGGCGAGCUAGAGCCCGGGAGUGGGGAGUGGAACUGCGAGUGUGGAGGUGAAAUUCGUGGAUAUUCGCAGGAACACCAGUGGCGAAGGCGGCGCACUGGCCCGGAACUGACGCUGAGGUGCGAAAGCGUGGGGAGCAAACGGG